rnacentral:snoRNA from 1 species
GCAUGGAUUUGGAUUUAUGGCAGGCCUGUCCCUCUGGGCCUGUCAUGUAUCCCACAUCAGAGCAGACUGGCUCCAAACCAUUGCCUGUCCUCUGCCGGUAGACUGCUCACACUAAAGUGGGCUGCACAGUG